GACGAACGCUGGCGGCGUGCUUAACACAUGCAAGUCGAACGGCAAGGCCCUGCUUUUGUGGGGUGCUCGAGUGGCGAACGGGUGAGUAACACGUGAGUAACCUGCCCUUGACUUUGGGAUAACUUCAGGAAACUGGGGCUAAUACCGGAUAGGAGCUCCUGCUGCAUGGUGGGGGUUGGAAAGUUUCGGCGGUUGGGGAUGGACUCGCGGCUUAUCAGCUUGUUGGUGGGGUAGUGGCUUACCAAGGCUUUGACGGGUAGCCGGCCUGAGAGGGUGACCGGCCACAUUGGGACGGAGAUACGGCCCAGACUCCUACGGGAGGCAGCAGUGGGGAAUAUUGCACAAUGGGCGGAAGCCUGAUGCAGCAACGCCGCGUGCGGGAUGACGGCCUUCGGGUUGUAAACCGCUUUCGCCUGUGACGAAGCGUGAGUGACGGUAAUGGGUAAAGAAGCACCGGCUAACUACGUG
rnacentral:rRNA from 1 species